rnacentral:rRNA from 1 species
GACGAACGCUGGCGGCGUGCUUAACACAUGCAAGUCGAACGGAAAGGCCCUGCUUUUGUGGGGUGCUCGAGUGGCGAACGGGUGAGUAACACGUGAGUAACCUGCCCUUGACUUUGGGAUAACUUCAGGAAACUGGGGCUAAUACUGGAUAGGAGCUCCUGCUGCAUGGUGGGGGUUGGAAAGUUUCGGCGGUUGGGGAUGGACUCGCGGCUUAUCAGCUUGUUGGUGGGGUAGUGGCUUACCAAGGCUUUGACGGGUAGCCGGCCUGAGAGGGUGACCGGCCACAUUGGGACUGAGAUACGGCCCAGACUCUUACGGGAGGCAGCAGUGGGGAAUAUUGCACAAUGGGCGGAAGCCUGAUGCAGCAACGCCGCGUGCGGGAUGACGGCCUUCGGGUUGUAAACCGCUUUCGCCUGUGACGAAGCGUGAGUGACGGUAAUGGGUAAAGAAGCACCGGCUAACUACGUG